UCCCACUCGCGGCGGAGGAGGAGGGUAGCAGGGAAGAGGACGAAUCCUAGACACGCAGUUUGACGAGGAGCGUACCACCCUCCGGCAAACUCGCUUCUGCCGUUGCGACAAGGAACCAGCUUCUUCCCCCCACGGUUAUUUCUACCAUAAGAGGAAGCAGGACCUUGUUUUCUCAUAGUCAUAAUGUUCCUUGAACCUGAAUGCCAGGGGCAGCAGCAGUCAGCUUUCUUCUGCUUCUUCAACAGAGGACUUGAAGAGUGAAGAUGUCUCAGUUUCAUAU